GGGCCCGCACAAGCGGUGGAGUAUGUGGUUUAAUUCGACGCAACGCGCAGAACCUUACCCAACCUUAACUUCCCGAGAACGAAAAGGAAACUUUUCGGUGCCAGCAAUGGAACUCGGUGAUAGGUGCUGCAUGGCUGUCGUCAGCUCGUGUCGUGAGAUGUUCGGUUAAGUCCGGUAACGAGCGCAACCCCUAUCCUUAGUUGCCAAUUAUGGAACUCUAAGGAGACUGCCGGUGUCAAACCGGAGGAAGGUGGGGAUGACGUCAAGUCCUCAUGGCCCUUACGGUUGGGGCUACACACGUACUACAAUGGCAUUUACAGUGGGAAGCAAUACCGCGAGGUGGAGCAAAUCCCCAAAAGAUGCCUCAGUUCGGAUUGUACUCUGCAACUCGAGUACAUGAAGUUGGAAUCGCUAGUAAUCG
rnacentral:rRNA from 1 species